GCUGGCGGCAGGCCUAACACAUGCAAGUCGAGCGCGCCUUCGGGUGAGCGGCGGACGGGUUAGUAACGCGUGGGAACGUGCCCUUCUCUACGGAAUAGCCUCUGGAAACGGAGAGUAAUACCGUAUACGCCCUUUGGGGGAAAGAUUUAUCGGAGAAGGAUCGGCCCGCGUUAGAUUAGGUAGUUGGUGGGGUAACGGCCUACCAAGCCUACGAUCUAUAGCUGGUUUUAGAGGAUGAUCAGCAACACUGGGACUGAGACACGGCCCAGACUCCUACGGGAGGCAGCAGUGGGGAAUCUUAGACAAUGGGGGCAACCCUGAUCUAGCCAUGCCGCGUGAGUGAUGAAGGCCUUAGGGUCGUAAAGCUCUUUCGCCUGUGUUGAUAAUUGACAGUAUCCAUGUA
rnacentral:rRNA from 1 species